rnacentral:rRNA from 1 species
UGGGGAAUCUUGCACAAUGGGCGCAAGCCUGAUGCAGCAACGCCGCGUGCGGGAAGACGGCCCUAGGGUUGUAAACCGCUUUCAGGAGGGAAGAAAUGACGGUACCUCCAGAAGAAGGUGCGGCCAACUACGUGCCAGCAGCCGCGUGACACGUAGGCACCAAGCGUUAUCCGGAUUUAUUGGGCGUAAAGAGCUCGUAGGCGGUUCGGUAAGUCGGGUGUGAAAUCCAAGGCUCAACCUUGGGACGCACCCGAUACUGCUGUGACUCGAGUGCAGUAGGGGAGCAGGGAAUUCCUGGUGUAGCGGUGAAAUGCGCAGAUAUCAGGAGGAACACCAGUGGCGAAGGCGCUGCUCUGGGCUGUAACUGACGCUGAGGAGCGAAAGCAUGGGUAGCAAAACAGGAUUAGAUACCCUGGUAGUCCAUGCCGUAAACGUUGGGCACUAGGUGUGGGUCUCAACCAACGAGAUCCGCGCCGUCGCUAACGCAUUAAGUGCCCCGCCUGGGGAGUACGGUCGCAAGACUAAAACUCAAAGGAAUUGA